GACGAACGCUGGCGGCGUGCUUAACACAUGCAAGUCGAGCGAUGAAGUUCCUUCGGGGAUGGAUUAGCGGCGGACGGGUGAGUAACACGUGGGUAACCUGCCUCAUAGAGGGGAAUAGCCUUCCGAAAGGAAGAUUAAUACCGCAUAAGAUUGUAGUUUCGCAUGAAACAGAAAUUAAAGGAGUAAUCCGCUAUGAGAUGGACCCGCGUCGCAUUAGCUAGUUGGUGAGGUAACGGCUCACCAAGGCGACGAUGCGUAGCCGACCUGAGAGGGUGAUCGGCCACAUUGGGACUGAGACACGGCCCAGACUCCUACGGGAGGCAGCAGUGGGGAAUAUUGCACAAUGGGGGAAACCCUGAUGCAGCAACGCCGCGUGAGUGAUGACGGUCUUCGGAUUGUAAAACUCUGUCUUCAGGGACGAUAAUGACGGUACCUGAGGAGGAAGCCACGGCUAACUACGUGCCAGCAGCCGCAGUAAGAC
rnacentral:rRNA from 1 species